UGGGGAUGAAACUGUGGGGGGUGGUGAAGCAGUUGGUGGUGGCUGAGCCGGUGGUGUUUGGUUGUUAACUGGUGGAGGAGAACCAGUGGGUGUAGGUGGAGCUUGGGUAGCUGGUGUUGGAGGCGCUUGGGUAGUGGGUGUAGGUGGUGCUUGGUUAGUGGGUGUUGGAGGAGCCUGGUUAGUGGGUGUUGGUGGAGUCUGUGUAGGUGGUGCUUGAUUAGUAGGGGGUGCCUGUGUUGGUGGUGCCUGUGUAGGUGGUGCUUGGGUAGGGGGUGCCUGUGUUGGUGGUGCCUGCGUAGGUGGUGCUUGGUUAGUAGGGGGUGUCUGUGUUGGUGGUGCCUGUGUAGGUGGUGCUUGGGUAGGGGGUGUUGGAGGUGCUUGACCUCCAACCCCAGCGACGAUAAUGCAGAUCAUAAACCCCAACAAAACAGCAUUAUUCCUACCCAUCAUUUUGACAAUGGAGAGGAGGAAAUUAAAGGAAUGUGAAAGAAGAUAUCUGGUGCUGCUUGGGAAAAGAGAGGUUUGGGAAGGGAAUAUAUAAGAGAUUUUCUAAAAGAAGUAUGGUAUAUAUUUGAAGGUUGGAAAAGAAAGAGUAGAAAGGUGGCAAAUCCAAUUUGUAGUAACAGUGUGAGUUGUGACUACCAAAUACUUAUG
rnacentral:lncRNA from 1 species